rfam:Saccharothrix sp. NRRL B-16348 P442contig111.1, whole genome shotgun sequence.
CUUGAUCGAGCCCAGGCGCAGCGGCUCGGCGCGGUCCUGGCCGUAGGUGGCCAGCAGGGCUUGCGCCUC